CGGGGUGCGCAGGCGCGAAAACUUUACAAUGCUGGCAACAGCGAUAAGGGGACCUCGAGUGCCAGGAUACAAUCUUGGCUGUCGCGAUGCCUAAAAAGCAUUGCAUAGCAAGGGCCGGGCAAGACCGGUGCCAGCCGCCGCGGUAACACCGGCGGCUCGAGUGGUAACCGCUAUUAUUGGGUCUAAAGGGUCUGUAGCCGGCCGGAUAAGUCUUUUGGGAAAUCCAGCUGCUCAACAGUUGGGCUUUCAGAAGAUACUGUUCGGCUCGAGACCGGGAGAGGUGAGAGGUACUUCAGGGGUAGGGGUGAAAUCUUGUAAUCCUUGAAGGACCACCAGUGGCGAAGGCGUCUCACCAGAACGGAUCUGACGGCAAGGGACGAAAGCUAGGGGCACGAACCGGAUUAGAUACCCGGGUAGUCCUAGCCGUAAACGAUACUCGCUAGGUGUCAGCCACGGUGCGACCGUGGUUGGUGCCGUAGGGAAGCCGUGAAGCGAGCCACCUGGGAAGUACGGCCGCAAGGCUGAAACUUAAAGGAAUUGGCGGGGGAGCAC
rnacentral:rRNA from 1 species